rnacentral:rRNA from 1 species
UACGAAGGGGGCUAGCGUUGUUCGGAGUUACUGGGCGUAAAGGGCGCGUAGGCGGCGCACCAAGUCAGGCGUGAAAGCCCUGGGCUCAACCCGGGAAUUGCGCUUGAGACUGGUGUGCUUGAGUACGGGAGAGGAUAGUGGAAUUCCCAGUGUAGAGGUGAAAUUCGUAGAUAUCAGGAGGAACACCGGUGGCGAAGGCGGGUCUCUGGGCCGAAACUGACGCUGAGGAGCGAAAGCGUGGGGAGCGAACAGG